GCUGGGUCUCGAUUCAAUUUUGGCCAGGUGGUGCGCUGAAUACUCCUGCUAAUUCUAAUGGUAUUGGGAAAUGCGGCAAAACUUAUAUGAGCUGGAUUUCACUGUUGUUGCCGUGAGGGAAACACAAUGGAGGUAUGUGUGCCAGCCAAUCGUACAGGUCAGUUCAAAGAACUUCUGAAGAAAGGCUAUGUGUGUACCAGUCAAUCGUAUAGGAUACAUCUCGCAUGGGUGAGAUCAGAAGGUCUAGGUCAUUGUUUGGCAAUGUAUCUGUGGCUUACGCUGAAAACUUCCUCUCAUAAUGAUGGUUGCUGUGUGACCUUAUCAGUGGUUCAUGUUGGAAGCGAGCAUGUUUUUUGAUAACUUCUUCUACGCUGGUGACUGUUGGCUGAAGUUAUUCCAGUGCGAGAACUGAGCUAUACUUCAAGUGUAUCUCUGCUGUAAUCAUUAGCAUCAGACCCAUGCUAUGUACGGAAACUGUGUCAACAUCAUAUUAUUUCCAGGGAGGGUUGCAGGUAAUUAUUCUUCAAAACUAUUUGAUUUCCAUUGAGUAGUCAAAAUCUUCUCUCUUUAUUUAGUCAAAGGAGGCUGAAUAGAAAGCUCCAUCAUUAUUUAUCGUGUGCCCUUUUGUUCCCCGA